rnacentral:rRNA from 1 species
UACAGGGGGUGCAAACGUUGCUCGGAAUCAUUGGGCGUAAAGCGCACGUAGGCGGUCUGUUAUGUCGGAUGUGAAAGCCCUCGGCUCAACUGAGGAAGUGCAUCCGAAACUGGCAGGCUAGAGUACUAAAGAGGGACGCGGAAUUCCCGGUGUAGAGGUGAAAUUCGUAGAUAUCGGGAGGAACACCGGUGGCGAAGGCGGCGACCUGGGUAGAUACUGACGCUGAGGUGCGAAAGCGUGGGGAGCAAACAGG